rnacentral:rRNA from 1 species
CCGGGGCCGCACGCGCGCCACAUUGAAGGAAUCAGCGUGUGCUUUCCCGGUCCGACAGGAUUGGGUAACCCGUUGAACCUCCUUCGUGCUGGGGAUAGAACCUUGUAACUUAGUUCUUGAACGAGGAAUUCCCAGUAAGCACGAGUCAUCAGCUCGUGUUGAUUACGUCCCUGCCCUUUGCACACACCGCCCGUCGCUACUACCGAUUGAAUGAUUAAGUGAGGCCUUCGGACUGGCGCUCGGACUGGCCUUCGGGUCGAGCCGAAGUGCCGGAAAGAUGGCCAAACUUGAUCACUUAGAGAUAGUAAAAGUCGUAACAAGGUUUCC